rnacentral:rRNA from 1 species
UACGGGGGGAGCAAGCGUUGUUCGGAUUUACUGGGCGUAAAGGGCGCGUAGGCGGCCACGCCAAGUCACUUGUGAAAUCUCCGGGCUUAACUCGGAAAGGUCAAGUGAUACUGUCGGGCUAGAGUACAGAAGGGGCAACUGGAAUUCUCGGUGUAGCGGUGAAAUGCGUAGAUAUCGGGAGGAACACCAGUGGCGUAGGCGGCUGUCUGGGGUCUUGCUGACGCUGAGGCACGAAAGCCAGGGGAGCGAACGGG